rnacentral:rRNA from 1 species
UACAGGGGGUGCAAGCGUUACUCGGAUUUACUGGGCGUAAAGAGCGUGUAGGCGGUUUGUUAAGUCUGGUGUGAAAUCCCUGGGCUCAAUCCAGGAAGUGCAUUGGAUACUAACAGACUAGAGUAGAGGAGGGGUGAGCGGAAUUCCCGGUGUAGAGGUGAAAUUCGUAGAUAUCGGGAGGAACAACAGAGGCGAAGGCGGCUCACUGGACUCUUACUGACGCUAAGGCGCGAAAGCGUGGGGAGCAAAC